rnacentral:tRNA from 1 species
GCUUUCAUGGCAUAGUGGUUUGAGUGUUGGAUUAUGACUCUGGAAAUUAGGGUUCAAAUCCCUGCUGAGAUA